UGCGGAGGGUGCAAGCGUUAUCCGGAUUUAUUGGGUUUAAAGGGUCCGUAGGCGGACUCGUAAGUCAGUGGUGAAAUCUCAUAGCUUAACUAUGAAACUGCCAUUGAUACUGCGGGUCUUGAGUAAAGUAGAAGUGGCUGGAAUAAGUAGUGUAGCGGUGAAAUGCAUAGAUAUUACUUAGAACACCAAUUGCGAAGGCAGGUCACUAUGUUUUAACUGACGCUGAUGGACGAAAGCGUGGGGAGCGAACAGG
rnacentral:rRNA from 1 species